rnacentral:rRNA from 1 species
AGUGAACGCUGGCGGUGUGCCUAACACAUGCAAGUCGAACGGCAGCACAGUAAGAGCUUGCUCUUACGGGUGGCGAGUGGCGGACGGGUGAGGCAUACAUCGGAAUCUACUUUUUCGUGGGGGAUAACGUAGGGAAAGUUACGUUAAUACCGCAUACGACCUACGGGUGCAAGCAGGGGAUCUUCGGACCUUGCGCGAUUGAAUGAGCCGAUGUCGGAUUAGCUAGUUGGCGGGGUAAAGGCCCACCAAGGCGACGAUCCGUAGCUGGUCUGAGAGGAUGAUCAGCCACACUGGAACUGAGACACGGUCCAGACUCCUACGGGAGGCAGCAGUGGGGAAUAUUGGACAAGGGGCGAAAGCCUGAUCCAGCAAGACCGCGUGGGUGAAGAAGGCCUUCGGGUUGUAAAGCCCUUUUGUUGGGAAAGAAAAGCAGCAGGUUAAUACCCCGCUGUUCUGACGGUACCCAAAGAGAAAGCAACGGCUAACUUCGUG